rnacentral:rRNA from 1 species
CACGUAGGGUGCGAGCGUUGUCCGGAAUUAUUGGGCGUAAAGCGUGCGCAGGCGGUGAUGUAAGACAGAUGUGAAAUCCCCGGGCUCAACCUGGGAACUGCAUUUGUGACUGCAUCGCUGGAGUGCGGCAGAGGGGGAUGGAAUUCCGCGUGUAGCAGUGAAAUGCGUAGAUAUGCGGAGGAACACCGAUGGCGAAGGCAAUCCCCUGGGCCUGCACUGACGCUCAUGCACGAAAGCGUGGGGAGCAAACAGG